rnacentral:tRNA from 1 species
GGAGGGGUGCCGGAGUGGUCAUAACGGAACCGUCUUGAAAACGGUCGAGGGUGUCAAAGCUCUCCGUGGGUUCGAAUCCCACCUCCUCCG